rnacentral:rRNA from 1 species
GUGGGGAAUAUUGGACAAUGGGCGCAAGCCUGAUCCAGCAAUGCCGCGUGUGUGAAGAAGGCCUGAGGGUUGUAAAGCACUUUUCUGAGGGAAGAAACGGGUGUGGUUAAGACCCACACCAAUUGACGGUACUUCAAGAAUAAGCACCGGCUAACUCCGUGCCAGCAGCCGCGGUAAUACGGAGGGUGCGAGCGUUAAUCGGAAUUACUGGGCGUAAAGGGUACGUAGGCGGUUUGUUAAGUUGGAUGUGAAAGCCCCGGGCUCAACCUGGGAACUGCAUUCAAAACUGGCAGACUGGAGUUUGGCAGAGGCCAGUGGAAUUCCCGGUGUAGCGGUGAAAUGCGUAGAGAUCGGGAGGAACAUCAGUGGCGAAGGCGACUGGCUGGGCUAAAACUGACGCUGAAGUACGAAAGCGUGGGGAGCAAACAGG